AAAAGAUAGUCAUUCCAUAAACAGCCUUCCCUGACUUCCCCAAGCUGGAUCAGGACCCCUCCAGAAACCCGCAGGCCCCAGGCUCCUCCUUUCUCAGUGUGCCAAUGUCCGUCUCCUCCCCCGGUCCAUCUACCCCUUCAGGGCAGGGACGAAGUACUGGACCUUCUACAACCCCAUGUGAAGGCUCUCUGGCCAAAGGACUGCCUGCUCAGGACGUAGCACAAGGCCCGUAGGCUUCGCGUCCAGCGUGGAACCCCAUGUGGGGCUUGAAUUCAUGACCCUGAGAUCAAGACCUGAGCUGAGAUCAAGAGUCAGAUGCUUAACCGACAGAGCCACCCAGGCGCCCCUCAAAUCACGUUUGAGAUGAGGUAAACUGAGGCACAGAAGGAGUGACGGAUUUAUCUGUGUCCCUGCGACUUGUUCGAUAGGACCCUGGCUCCCGGGACUCACAUUCCUCUGCUCCCUCCCAUGAUUCACUGACACCCUAAGUACUCAAACCAUCCCCAUUAUCCGGUCACUCGCUGCUGCAAAACCUUCUGUGGACCAGCCAAGCCCCUGCUGGCCGGCACUAACCCCUUCCCUCAAACCUCCAGUCCCACCAUCACCAACUCCGCUGCCACAGACCAGUCAGACUGCCCAAAGAACGCAAGCCACGCUCACAUGUCACCACCCCCGAGAACAUCUUGCCCAUUUCUUUCUGAACAGGCGCCGCCUCUUCCAGGAAGCCUUCCCUGACUGCUCUCAUUGAGUUCUUUCCAGAGCUCUCGCGCCCGGCCACAUGAGGUGACUCCGAACAGACCUACCUGUGUUUCCUCUGCAAAUUGCUUAACCGUAUUAGUCCCUAGAGCAGGGAACACAUCUUCCCACCAGCCCGAUGUACCAGGGCAAAAAGAAAAGACUCAAUAUCCCAAUCCAACAGAACACCAGUGGUGGAGAAGUUACCUCCACAACAUCAACAUGUUCAGAAAUAGCUAUUUACGAGUUCAACUUUGUAAACAUUCUCACCCCCAACACCGCCAUAUCGCAGGAGUACUGGAUGUCCACCCUGUCCGACUGGCCUCCAAAUGGCACUGUUCCUGUUUCCCUGGACACCCUGACUGCCCCAACAUCCUUGCCGCUGUAUCACAAAGC